AAAGCUCAAAGUUACAAGCUUUUGAUCUGGCAAUUGGUCUCGCUGUAGGUUAAGUUCCAGUUUCCUGAUUUGGGUUUAUCUUGUACGGAACUUCACAAUGGCUGCAAGAAUCCUUGCUAAUAUAAUUGUCAUGGGCUCUACAAUAUUGGCACGGUCUUUUGUUCAAGCAUAUCGUCAGGCACUGGCUAACGCCUCUAGGAAUGGGGUUGCUCAAGAAGCAGUACAGAAUAUGAAAAGAGCUAGUAAAACCAUGACUGAUGUAGAGGCAAGGCAGAUUCUCGGUGUCACUGAGAAUGCAUCGUGGGAAGAAAUCAUGCAGAGAUAUGAUAACUUGUUUGAGCGAAAUGCUAAAAAUGGAAGCUUUUACCUUCAGUCGAAGGUUCAUAGAGCUAAAGAGUGUUUGGAAGCAAUUCACCAACCUAAAGAACCAGAGGAAAAAUAAACAACUUUGUUCAGCAUGUUUAGUGUAUAGCAAGCUCUGCUGCAUAGUUGGUUUUAUCUAUAGUCAGUUUGUAGUUUUUGAUGGUGGAAUCGAUUUUACUGAAGUAACUUGAGGUUACUAUUCAAGUUUUAUGUGUGGUAUAUCUGGAAUA
rnacentral:misc_RNA from 1 species